GAUAACUGUUACUACUGGGUAGAGGAAAU
rnacentral:piRNA from 1 species